GAUGAAGAACGCAGCGAAAUGCGAUAAGUAGUGUGAAUUGCAGAAUUCGGUGAAUCAUCGAAUCUUUGAACGCACAUUGCGCCUUCUAGUAUUCUGGGAGGCAUGCCUGUUUGAGCGUCAUUAAACCUCUCUCAAGUAUGAUUACUUGGAUGUGAAGGAAGAGUACCUUAAACUUAAGGAGUGUUCUCCUUUGAAAUUGAUUAGCAGAUGGUAAUGUUAUUAAAUCCCUGAUGUUGUAAGAAAUAACAGUGGUUUUGUAGACUAUUAUCUAGCUUUAAAUUAUAAUUUUUAUUAUGGUUGACCUCAAAUCAGGUAAGGAUACCCGCUGAACUUAAGCAUAUCAAUAAGCGGAGGA
rnacentral:misc_RNA from 1 species